UACGUAGGGGGCAAGCGUUAUCCGGAUUUACUGGGUGUAAAGGGAGCGUAGACGGCAUGGCAAGUCAGAUGUGAAAGCCCGGGGCUCAACCCCGGGACUGCAUUUGGAACUGUCAGGCUGGAGUGCAGGAGAGGUAAGUGGAAUUCCUAGUGUAGCGGUGAAAUGCGUAGAUAUUAGGAGGAACACCAGUGGCGAAGGCGGCUUACUGGACUGUAACUGACGUUGAGGCUCGAAAGCGUGGGGAGCAAACAGG
rnacentral:rRNA from 1 species